CCGAGAAUAUUCGACAAUGGGCGAAAGCCUGAUCGAGCGACGCCGCAUGCAGGAUGAAGGUCUUCGGAUCGUAAACUGCUUUUCUAUAGGAAGAAUUUUUGACGGUACUAUAGGAAUUAGGAGCUGCAAACUACGUGCCAGCAGCCGCGGUAAUACGUAGGCUCCGAGCGUUAUCCGGAUUUAUUGGGCGUAAAGGGUGCGUAGGUGGUUUUGUGCGUCUUCUGUUAAAUCUCGCCGCUCAACGGCGGGGCUGCAGGGGAUACGGCAAAGCUAGAGGAUGCGAGAGGUCUGUGGAACACAAGGUGUAGGGGUGAAAUCCGUUGAUAUCUUGUGGAACACCAAAGGCGAAGGCAGCAGACUGGCGCAUUUCUGACACUGAGGCACGAAAGCGUGGGGAGCAAAAAGG
rnacentral:rRNA from 1 species